rnacentral:rRNA from 1 species
AUGGAAGAAGGUUUUGUGUUCCGGGGGUGCGAGCUGCCGCCGGGGUUCCGGUUCCAGCCGACGGACCAGGAGAUCAUCGUCUGCUACCUCAAGAGGAAGGUCGCCUCCGCCGCCUCCGCCGUCACCUCCAUCAUCGCCGACGUCGACAUCUACAAGUUCGACCCGUGGGAACUGCCCGACAAGGCGCAGUUCGGGGAGGGGGAGUGGUUCUUCUUCAGCCCGAGGGACCGCAAGUACCCCAACGGCGCGCGGCCCAACCGCACGGCGGGCUCGGGGUACUGGAAGGCCACCGGCACCGACAAGCCGAUCCUGGCUGCCGGCGGCGCGCGCUGCCUCGGGGUCAAGAAGGCGCUCGUCUUCUACCAGGGCCGCUCCCCGCGGGGCACCAAGACUGAGUGGGUCAUGCACGAGUACCGCCUCCUCCACGCCGACGCCGGCGCCGCCACCCGUCACAAGCCCCACGACUCCAUGAGGCUGGACGACUGGGUCCUGUGCCGCGUCCGCAAGAAGGGCGUCGCCGUCGCGCCGGACAUGGAUGGCAACCCCGGAGCGCCGAGCCACGCGGAGGUUCAGGCAAUUGAUAGUACCACCGCAGCCGCGCACGGCGCCUUCGGCGACGACUGGACCGACGGCCAGCUCCUGCAGUACCUGAUGAGCGGCGGAUCCGGACAGGUCGACGGUGCCGGCGCCAUCAGCGUGGCGGCGGGCCACGUCCAUGACGGUGCGCGACGCGAGAGUGCGCCGGAGGUACAUCUGGCGUCAGUGCUGGAGAACAUCAAGAGGGACCUCUCGUUCCAUGCCAUGGACGACGUGUAUUUCCUCCAGCCCAGCAAGCGGGCCAACUGCAUGGGAGGAGGUGCGGGCCACCACACCGACGGCGACCAGCUGUCGCCGCCGACGUCCUUGUCCAUGUUCGAGGACGAUUAG